UUAUUAGGUUGUCCUUGUCAUUACAACAAGUACAGAAGACAUUCUUAAAACAUUGUUAAUAUUGAUAGGUGGACAAGGUGCUCGGCUGAAGCCUAAUAACUCUUGUCAAUUGUUAUUGUACCAUGUAUUGCUGCUCAAUACAAUAUGGUGCACAGGUGUAUAUGGAUAGAGAAGGAGAGUCCGAAGACUACAAUUUCACUAAUGAUCCUUCCGCAGAUUCACCUACGGAAA
rnacentral:misc_RNA from 1 species